CAAUAGCGUAUAUUAAAGUUGUUGCAGUUAAAAAGCUCGUAGUUGAAUUUCUGUGUCUGCCGGUGCACCCUUUCGGGCUCGCACCCGCAGAGACAUCCUCGCCCUUCUGGGCGUCAUUUACUGUGAAGAAAUUAGAGUGUUUAAAGCAGGCUUUAGGCUUGAAUACAUUAGCAUGGAAUAAUAAGAUAGGACCUGAAUUGCUAUUUUGUUGGUUGCGCAUUUGGGUAAUGAUUAAUAGGGACAGUUGGGGGCAUUCAUAUUUAACUGUCAGAGGUGAAAUUCUAUGACCUGUUAAAGAUGAACUACUGCGAAAGCAUUUGCCAAGGAUGUUUUCAUUA
rnacentral:rRNA from 1 species